rnacentral:rRNA from 1 species
GACGAACGCUGGCGGCGUGCCUAAUACAUGCAAGUCGAACGCAGUGGGGACGGGUGAGUAACACGUGGGUAACCUCCCAUCAGAGGGGAUAACACUUGGAAACAGGUGCUAAACCGAUACUGAUGGAUGGACCCGCGGUUCAUUAGCUAGUUGGUGGGGUAACGGCUCACCAAGGCCACGAUGCAUAGACGACCGGGGGGGGGGUGCGGCCACACUGGGACUGGGAGACGGCCCAGACUCCUAAGGGAGGCAGCAGUAGGGAAUCGUCGGCAAUGGACGAAAGUCUGACCGAGCAACGCCGCGUGAGGGAUGACAGCCUUCGGGUUGUAAAGCGCUGUUAAGCGGGACGCGGUACCGAAAUAGAAAGCCACGGCUAACUACGUGCCAGCCGCCGCGGUAAUUC